UACGUAGGGUGCGAGCGUUGUCCGGAAUUAUUGGGCGUAAAGGGCUCGUAGGCGGUUUGUCGCGUCGGAGUGAAAACCUUGGGCUUAACUCAGGGCUUGCUUUCGAAUACGGGCAGACUAGAGGUAUGCAGGGGAGAUCGGAAUUCCUGGUGUAGCGGUGAAAUGCGCAGAUAUAGGAGGAACACCGGUGGCGAAGGCGGAUCUCUGGGCCUUACCUGACGCUCAGGUGCGAAAGCUAGGGAGCGAACAGG
rnacentral:rRNA from 1 species